GGGACAUUUUCUGCAGCAGUUCACUUCAUGAAAGCAUGCUUCUUGUGGCUGUACCAGUCAGACUCGAAGCGCCUGCAUUAAAUAUGGCUGGGAAGCGCUUUGUGUGCAUGUUAUCACAUUAUUGUUAUGAUACAUGAUUAUUGGAGGUUGCAGGUAAGAACUAUUCUGAAAUUGCUAAAGCACCACAAGCUUGCAUGUUGGAGCGAGACUAGGCCACGUCGGCGAGGAAAAUGUGAAGAGCUGAUGAUAAACUCGGAUUGAUGCAGUGUUUUUGAGGGGAUUGCACAAUCACACGUGGACAGGCCGGUGGUGGACUUGCAGAUGAAGGCCGCAUAAGGUCCCAUGAUUUAAUAAACUGGACUUGAGUGAGGAGGGCUGUCUGCAAUAACAGCAGAGGGUUAGACUGCGAUGUCUGAGAAAUGGACAUGACUACUGUAAAUCAUAAGGUGACACCAUUAAUUAAUACUUUUGCAUACCCUCAUUUAAUUUUUGAACUGGAAAAUAAACAAAUCUUUGUAUGAAUAUGAAUAAAACCUUU